rnacentral:rRNA from 1 species
CUGGGCGUAAGGGCGCGUAGGCGGUCGUGUGAGUGUGAUGUGAAAGCCCCGGGCUUAACCUGGGAAGAGCAUCGCAAACGACACGACUGGAGUAGAUGAGAGGGUGGUGGAAUUUCCGGUGUAGCGGUGAAAUGCGUAGAGAUCGGAAGGAACGUCAAUGGCGAAGGCAGCCACCUGGCAUCAUACUGACGCUGAGGCGCGAAAGCGUGGGGAGCGAACAGGAUUAGAUACCCUGGUAGUCCACGCUGUAAACGAUGAGGACUAAAUGUUGGUAGGGGAACCUAUCGGUAUUGAAGCUAACGCGAUAAGUCUUCCGCCUGGGAAGUACGGCCGCAAGGUUGAAACUCAAAGGAAUUGACGGGGGCCCGCACAAGCGGUGGAGCAUGUGGUUUAAUUCGAUGCAACGCGAAGAACCUUACCUACCCUUGACAUCCUGCGAAUCCCGAUGAGAGUUGGGAGUGCCGAAAGGAGCGCAGAGACAGGUGCUGCAUGGCUGUCGUCAGCUCGUGUUGUGAGAUGUUGGGUUAAGUCCCGUAACGAGCGCAACCCUUGUCCUUAGUUACCAGCAUUCAGUUGGGGACUCUAAGGAGACUGCCGGUGAUGAACCGGAGGAAGGCGGGGACGACGUC